rnacentral:rRNA from 1 species
GGUUAAGCGACUAAGCGUACACGGUGGAUGCCUAGGCAAUCAGAGGCGAUGAAGGACGUGCUAAUCUGCGAUAAGCGUCGGUAAGGUGAUAUGAACCGUUACAACCGACGAUUUCCGAAUGGGGAAACCCAGUGCAAUUCGUUGCACUAUCGUUUGAUGAAUACAUAGUCAAACGAAGCGAACCGGGGAACUGAAACAUCUCAGUACCCCGAGGAAAAGAAAUCAACCGAGAUUCCCUAGUAGCGGCGAGCGAACGGGAGCAGCCCAGAGUCUUAAUCAGCAUUAGCAUCAGGAGAACGGUCUGGAAAGUCCGGCAGUAAAGGGUGAUAGCCCCGUAUCCGAAGGUGUUAGUGUUGUGAACUCGACGAGUAGGCGGGACACGUGUUAUCCUGUCUGAAUAUGGGGGACCAUCCUCCAAGGCUAAAUACUCCUGAUUGACCGAUAGUGAACCAGUACCGUGAGGGAAAGGCGAAAAGAACCCCGGCGAGGGGAGUGAAAUAGAACCUGAAACCGUGUACGUACAAGCAGUGGGAGCCCCAUCACUCAAGUGCCUCGGCAAUUGAGUGAGGGUGUAAAACCAUCACAAUAACAGCGCAGGAUUUGCCAACAAGAUUGGCUGAUUUUUUCAAGCCGCAGCGCAGUGGACAUCGAAGUCCAUGAGCAGCGGAAGUUAAAAAAUCGGGCAAGAUUGGCCGCAAAGCCAAGCGGGACAUUUGAGGAUGGGGUGACUGCGUACCUUUUGUAUAAUGGGUCAGCGACUUAUAUUCUGUAGCAAGGUUAACCGUAUAGGGAGCCGUAGGGAAACCGAGUCUUAACUGGGCGAAUAAGUUGCAGGGUAUAGACCCGAAACCCGGUGAUCUAGCCAUGGGCAGGUUGAAGGUUGGGUAACACUAACUGGAGGACCGAACCGACUAAUGUUGAAAAAUUAGCGGAUGACUUGUGGCUGGGGUGAAAGGCCAAUCAAACCGGGAGAUAGCUGGUUCUCCCGAAAGCUAUUUAGGUAGCGCCUCGUGAACUCAUCUUCGGGGUAGAGCACUGUUUCGACUAGGGGGUCAUCCCGACUUACCAACUCGAUGCAAACUACGAAUACCGAAGAAUGUUAUCACGGGAGACACACGGCGGGUGCUAACGUUCGUCGUGAAGAGGGAAACAACCCAGACCGCCAGCUAAGGUCCCAAAGUCAUAGUUAAGUGGGAAACGAAGUGGGAAGGCUCAGACAGCCAGGAUGUUGGCUUAGAAGCAGCCAUCAUUUAAAGAAAGCGUAAUAGCUCACUGGUCGAGUCGGCCUGCGCGGAAGAUGUAACGGGGCUAAACUAUGCACCGAAGCUGCGGCAGCGAUAUGUAAAUAUUGUUGGGUAGGGGAGCGUUCUGUAAGCCUGUGAAGGUGUGCUGUGAGGCAUGCUGGAGGUAUCAGAAGUGCGAAUGCUGACAUAAGUAACGAUAAUGCGGGUGAAAAACCCGCACGCCGGAAGACCAAGGGUUCCUGUCCAACGUUAAUCGGGGCAGGGUGAGUCGACCCCUAAGGCGAGGCAGAAAUGCGUAGUCGAUGGGAAACGGGUUAAUAUUCCCGUACUGGUGAUAAUUGCGAUGGGGGACGGAGAAGGCUAGGCUAUCCGGGCGACGGUUGUCCCGGUUUAAGGAUGUAGGCAGGUGAAUUAGGCAAAUCCGGUUCACUAUAUGCUGAGGUCCGAUGACGAGUCACUACGGUGAUGAAGUAGCUCAUGCCCCGCUUCCAGGAAAAGCCUCUAAGCUCUAGAUUAUCAUUAAUCGUACCCAAACCGACACAGGUGGUCAGGUAGAGAAUACUCAGGCGCUUGAGAGAACUCGGGUGAAGGAACUAGGCAAAAUGGUGCCGUAACUUCGGGAGAAGGCACGCUGGCAUUAGGUGAAGUGAUUUACUCAUGGAGCUGAAGCCAGUCGCAGAUACCAGCUGGCUGCAACUGUUUAUUAAAAACACAGCACUGUGCAAACACGAAAGUGGACGUAUACGGUGUGACGCCUGCCCGGUGCUGGAAGGUUAAUUGAUGGGGUUAUCCGUAAGGAGAAGCUCUUGAUCGAAGCCCCAGUAAACGGCGGCCGUAACUAUAACGGUCCUAAGGUAGCGAAAUUCCUUGUCGGGUAAGUUCCGACCUGCACGAAUGGCGUAAUGAUGGCCAGGCUGUCUCCACCCGAGACUCAGUGAAAUUGAACUCGCUGUGAAGAUGCAGUGUACCCGCGGCAAGACGGAAAGACCCCGUGAACCUUUACUAUAGCUUGACACUGAACAUUGAGCCUUGAUGUGUAGGAUAGGUGGGAGGCUUUGAAGCGUGGACGCCAGUCUGCGUGGAGCCAACCUUGAAAUACCACCCUUUAAUGUUUGAUGUUCUAACGUUGCCCCGUUAUCCGGGUGCGGACAGUGUCUGGUGGGUAGUUUGACUGGGCGGUCUCCUCCCAAAGAGUAACGGAGGAGCACGAAGGUUGGCUAAGCAUGGUCGGACAUCAUGCGGUUAGUGCAAAGGCAUAAGCCAGCUUGACUGCGAGAGUGACGGCUCGAGCAGGUACGAAAGUAGGUCUUAGUGAUCCGGUGGUUCUGAAUGGAAGGGCCAUCGCUCAACGGAUAAAAGGUACUCCGGGGAUAACAGGCUGAUACCGCCCAAGAGUUCAUAUCGACGGCGGUGUUUGGCACCUCGAUGUCGGCUCAUCACAUCCUGGGGCUGAAGUAGGUCCCAAGGGUACGGCUGUUCGCCGUUUAAAGUGGUACGCGAGCUGGGUUUAGAACGUCGUGAGACAGUUCGGUCCCUAUCUGCCGUGGGCGUUGGAAGAUUGAAAGGGGCUGCUCCUAGUACGAGAGGACCGGAGUGGACGCACCACUGGUGUUCGGGUUGUCAUGCCAAUGGCAUUGCCCGGUAGCUAAGUGCGGAAGAGAUAACCGCUGAAAGCAUCUAAGCGGGAAACUUGCCUUGAGAUGAGUCUUCCCUGACUCUUUAAGAGUCCUAAAGGAACGUUUAAGACUAAGACGUUGAUAGGUUGGGUGUGUAAGCGUAGCGAUACGUUGAGCUAACCAAUACUAAUGAACCGUGAGGCUUAACCUG